GCAAUAGACUAAGCACAAUUAGGCCUCACAUUCCUCUCACUCCUAUAAAUAACUCUCAGUUUCCUCUCCAUGUCUGCAAAUUUCAUUAGUAUGAUGGAAAGAAAAGAAACACACACACAUACACACACCAAAGCACUGAACUCCCUUCUCUUGCAGAGCCCAGUGCUGAUCUCUUGGUCCAGAGCUCUGUUCAGUCUGGGGGAUGGAGUGGAGGAGCUGAACGCCCACCCCACCACCCUCGGCCAUGUGUUCCUGGCCACAAAGGGAAAAUUCUCUGCAGAUGGCUUAGGAAUUCACCUGCAAGAAACAACAAAAAGAAAUACUCCUCCUUUGCUGUUGCAAUCUGCAGUGUGUGCACUGGGGAUGCGGCCGCUGCCCUGGGAGCGUCCUCACUGCUGUGUCCUCACAACAGAAGCAGGGAUGUUGGAUGCCAUUUUCAUGUCAAAUCCAUCCUCUGAAAUCCUCUGCCUUCUUUGCAGUCUCUGCCUAGGCUUGAGUGGGAAGGGAAAGGUCCCCACAGCCCAAAUUCACAGCUGUGAAUAACAGGAGAGCUACACCUGUUAAAGCUCGCUGUGCAAGGCAGAGCUGCCAUCUGCAUUCUGCUGAUACAGAUCCUGGGCAUCCUUCUCACUCCCUCAUAAACACUGACCAGAGACAGGGGAGUGGGAUGGGGUGGGGAGAGACUUUUCCCUUGAUAGCAGAGAUUUUGUUUUUCUUUCUCUAUGUUUCUUUCUCAUGUUGCAUAAAUAAUAAAAGCCAUGCAAUUCAGUGAAUUGUUUUCUCUUCUUGUAAGAAAAAGCAAGAUUUCUUUUCCUCUCCUUCCCUUCCCACACCCUUCUCCUUUCAUCUUUUGUAGAAAAAUCCACAUAUGAAAUGAUGGGCAGCCAUCCAGGAAUAAUGAGACAAAGAUGAUAAUGUAAACCUCAGAAGAGAAAGCGCUGGCUAUUGCAGUCAGGAUUUUUGCAUUUGCAGUGCUAUAGACGGCCAACAGAAAGAAACACAGCCUGUCAAGCAUGUAAAGCAAUCCAACAUACAUUAAAAGAACAUGUAUCAGCUGGAUGUAAGGCACAGACAUGCACCCAAGUCUACAUUUAGGUGCUAAAAUGUAAGCACCCCAGCUCCCAGGAGAGCUGAGCAUCCACAGGUCAGUUGGAAAGAAACAGGUUGUGAGAUGUCACUCAGCACUUGAAGAGAGGAGACCCUUUUCCAGAUGCACGUACAUAGAGGCAACAAGCAGCAUUCACCAAUAAUCUCUACCACCCAAAGCAAGGAUAGAGUGGAGGAAGCAUUGGGCUUCCUCCUUGCACUCGGUGAGCAUGGAGCAGUGGCAGACAGGGGAUGGAGCUCAGCCACAACCCUUUUACACUCAUUGCUUUGCCCUGGGGAUGAUACGUUUUGUAUUUUUUAAUACAUGGUUCUCAAACUGAACCUUACCUUGUUGAAAGGAGCCUUAUUCUUCGAAAGGAUAAUUUUGCACUUGAUGUAUAAAAC
ensembl:lncRNA